CACGUAGGGCGCAAGCGUUGUCCGGAAUUAUUGGGCGUAAAGGGCUCGUAGGCGGUUUGUCGCGUCGGGAGUGAAAACCCAGGGCUUAACCCUGGGCCUGCUUCCGAUACGGGCAGACUAGAGGUAUGCAGGGGAGAACGGAAUUCCUGGUGUAGCGGUGAAAUGCGCAGAUAUCAGGAGGAACACCGGUGGCGAAGGCGGCUUCCUGGCCUGUUCUUGACGCUGAGGCGCGAAAGCUAGGGGAGCAAACGGG
rnacentral:rRNA from 1 species